rnacentral:rRNA from 1 species
AACAGGUGGAGCCUGCGGUUUAAUCGGACUCAACGCCGGGAAGCUCACCGGAUAAGACAGCGGAAUGAUAGCCGGGCUGAAGACUCUGCUUGACUAGCUGAGAGGAGGUGCAUGGCCGUCGUCAGUUCGUACUGUGAAGCAUCCUGUUAAGUCAGGCAACGAGCGAGACCCACGCCAACAGUUGCCAGCAUGUCCUCCGGGAUGGUGGGGACACUGUUGGGACCGCCUCUGCUAAAGAGGAGGAAGGAAUGGGCAACGGUAGGUCGGCAUGCCCCGAAUUAUCCGGGCUACACGCGGGCUACAAUGGUCAGGACAAUGGGCAUCAACACCGAAAGGUGAAGGCAAUCUCUUAAACCUGUCCUUAGUUCGGAUUGUGGGCUGCAACUCGCCCACAUGAAGCUGGAAUCUGUAGUAAUCGCGUCUCAAAAUGGCGCGGUGAAUAUGUCCCUGCUCCUU